GACGAACCGUGCGAACGUUAUUCGGAGUCACUGGGCUUAAAGCGCGUGUAGGCGGGUCGGCACGUCGGGAGCUGAAAUCCCCCGGCUCAACCGGGGAAGGGGCGCCGAUACGACCGGCCUGGAGGGACGUAGGGGGGGCUGGAACUUCCGGUGGAGCGGUGAAAUGCGUUGAGAUCGGAAGGAACGCCCGUGGCGAAAGCGAGCCCCUGGACGUCUACUGACGCUGAGACGCGAAAGCGUGGGGAACAAACAGG
rnacentral:rRNA from 1 species